rnacentral:ncRNA from 1 species
AAGCGCGCUCUUAAGAGGACUCUACUAACGGCCUUUUCUGCAGCAGAAAUGAAUAUGCGUCUUGUCCACAGUCAAAUUCAGACCAAAAGGUAGAGGGUGUGGUCAGAAACCCUUGACGCGCAAAAGGGACAUCAGAACACCGUGGUCGCCCAGGCACACCCGCAGACAAUUAGAGCGUUUCAAGCAGGCUUGUUGCCCUAAAUACUUCAGCGCAGAAUAACCAGAUAGGAUUUCAGUCCUAUUUUGUUGGUGUCUAGGACUGAAGUAGUGAUUGACAGGGACAGUCGAGGGCAUUCGUACUACACUGUCAGAGGUGAAAUUCAUAGGUUAGUUAAGGACGAACUACUGCGAAAGCACUUGUCAAAGAUGUGUCCGUUAGUCAACAACGAAAGGGGCUCGAAGACGUUCAGAUACCGUCGUAGUUUCACCAUAAACUAUGUCGACUAGAGAUCGGAAAAAGUCAUCCUUGACUUCUCCCGUACACUCGCCGACAAAAGCUUAAUC